GGUUAAGCGACUAAGCGUACACGGUGGAUGCCCUGGCAGUCAGAGGCGAUGAAGGACGUGCUAAUCUGCGAUAAGCGUCGGUAAGGUGAUAUGAACCGUUAUAACCGGCGAUUUCCGAAUGGGGAAACCCAGUGUGAUUCGUC
rnacentral:rRNA from 1 species